CCCUUGGAUGUUCUGGGCCGCACGCGCGCUACACUGACGAAGUCAGCGAGCAUGUCCUACGCCGACAGGUGCGGGGAAUCUUGUCAAACUUCGUCGUGAUGGGGAUUGAUUAUUGAAAUUCUUGAUCAUCAACGAGGAAUUCCUAGUAAGCGCAAGUCAGCAGCUUGCGUUGAUUACGUCCCUGCCCUUUGUACACACCGCCCGUCGCUACUACCGAUUGAAUGGUUUAGUGAGAUCUUCGGAUUGGCGCCACUGCGGCUCAGCAAUGGGCUCGGUGGAUGCCGAAAAGUUGAUCAAACUUGAUCAUUUAGAGGAAGUAAAAGUCGUAACA
rnacentral:rRNA from 1 species